rnacentral:rRNA from 1 species
GACGAACGCUGGCGGCGUGCCUAACACAUGCAAGUCAACUUGACUGAAGGAGCAAUCUGACAGUAGAGUGGCGCAAGGGUGCGUAACGCGUAAGUAACUUGCCCAAGUAAGGAAUAACGUCGAGAAUCGGCGCUAAUACCUCAUAAUGCGGCGGAUCCGCAUGGAUAUGUUGUUAAAGGUUUACCGCCUUGGGAUAGGCUUGCGUCUGAUUAGUUAGUUGGUGUGGUAACGGCACACCAAGGCUACGAUCAGUAAACUGGUCUGAGAGGAUGAUCAGUCACACUGGAACUGAGACACGGUCCAGACUCCUACGGGAGGCAGCAGUGAGGAAUAUUGGGCAAUGCUCGAAAGAGUGACCCAGCAACACCGCGUGGAGGAU